rnacentral:tRNA from 1 species
GGUAAUAGCUCAGUGGUAGAGUGCCUGCUUAGCAUGCAUGAGGUCCUGGGUUCAACCCCCACUACUUCCA